GGGACUGUGAAAUAAAAAACUCUUAAUGCUUUGACCAAAGACUGAAGUUCUCCAUAAGAUACCAUAGUCACUCAAUAGUGUUAUGUUUCCUUGAGGAGAUAUAAGC
rnacentral:snoRNA from 1 species